UCACCGGGUUUACAUUCAUCCC
rnacentral:miRNA from 1 species